rfam:Neotoma lepida isolate 417 scaffold_681, whole genome shotgun sequence.
GGAGGGAUGGCUCAGUGGUUAAGAGCACUGGCUGUUCUUCCAGAGGAUCUGGGUUUGAUUCCCAGUACCCACA